rnacentral:rRNA from 1 species
UAAAGCGCACGCAGGCGGUCUGUCAAGUCGGAUGUGAAAUCCCCGGGCUCAACCUGGGAACUGCAUUCGAAACUGGCAGGCUUGAGUCUUGUAGAGGGGGGUAGAAUUCCAGGUGUAGCGGUGAAAUGCGUAGAGAUCUGGAGGAAUACCGGUGGCGAAGGCGGCCCCCUGGACAAAGACUGACGCUCAGGUGCGAAAGCGUGGGGAGCAAACAGGAUUAGAUACCCUGGUAGUCCACGCCGUAAACGAUGUCUACUUGGAGGUUGUGCCCUUGAGGCGUGGCUUCCGGAGCUAACGCGUUAAGUAGACCGCCUGGGGAGUACGGCCGCAAGGUUAAAACUCAAAUGAAUUGACGGGGGCCCGCACAAGCGGUGGAGCAUGUGGUUUAAUUCGAUGCAACGCGAAGAACCUUACCUGGUCUUGACAUCCACAGAACUUUCCAGAGAUGGAUUGGUGCCUUCGGGAACUGUGAGACAGGUGCUGCAUGGCUGUCGUCAGCUCGUGUUGUGAAAUGUUGGGUUAAGUCCCGCAACGAGCGCAAC